CUGUGGCAUCAUCCCCAACCUCUUGUGGUUCAGGGAUGUCAAGAAUAUAGGAGAGUUUCUCCUGAGUGAGUACGAUCUUUAAAUUCCUCAACCAGUCCACAUAAUUUGGAUUGGUCAACUUGUUGGAAUCUAAAAUUCCUCGCAAUGAUAGUGAAGAUGCCAUUUGUAGAAUUUAAUCUACAAUAAUUAAAGAAUAUUACAUAAGCAAACAACUCAUAUUAACUCAUACAAUUAAAUAAGGUCUUUAGAUUUAAUUGUACCUUCCACUAUUUUAUUGAACAUCAUAACCCUCUACUAUGAUGAACGAGACAUAUGUUAUAUUUAUCUUAGUGGGAUUGAGACCCUAAUUCCUCAUAAUGAUCUUGUGUUAACACAACAAACCCUUAUGAGUUUAUAGGUAUGAAACUCUUUCCAAUUGCAUCUUAUGCAAUUUUCAAUAUUAUAUCUUGACCUCUAAAAUAUUAUUAGCCUUGUCUUAACACAACAAGCUAUAAUAUUUUAGUUAAGUUAGACCCUUCAUUUUAAUACAGUCAAAUUCUAAUAUAACUGCCUUUGUGUUAACACAACAAAGCAGUAUAUUCAAAAUUGCCAUAAGCAUCUUCUAUGCACCAGGAUUAUGUUAUAUCAAUCCUUAUGACAAGCCUCAUGUUAACACAACAAACUAGCCAUAGUUCAUGAUGUAACAUUAACCUAGCAUGAAGGAAGGCCCUUAAUAGUGUUUUCAACAUUAGGGUUUUUCAAUAUCAAGAUCGCUUAAUCAAAUUGGCCAGGUAAGUAAGGUGGGGGUCCCCUCGUUGCUUUCUUUAGACACCAAUAAAUUAGCCAGGUCAGACAACGGAACCAAUUAAAAAAUAACCUAUAGCACUUUCCUAGACACCAAUUGAUCAAUUGAUCAAGAAUUGGUUAACCCAUAGUUGCAUAU
rnacentral:lncRNA from 1 species